GUUAGAGUGGCAGAGCCCGGCAUAUUGCAAAAGGCCUAAGCCCUUUAAACAGUGGUUCAAGUCCUGUCUCUAACU
rnacentral:tRNA from 1 species